GCAUAUCAAUAAGCGGAGGAAAAGAAACCAACAGGGAUUGCCCUAGUAACGGCGAGUGAAGCGGCAACAGCUCAAAUUUGAAAUCUGGCUUUCGGGCCCGAGUUGUAAUUUGUAGAGGAUGCUUUUGAUGCGGUGCCUUCCGAGUUCCCUGGAACGGGACGCCAUAGAGGGUGAGAGCCCCGUCUGGUUGGAUGCCAAAUCUCUGUAAAGCUCCUUCGACGAGUCGAGUAGUUUGGGAAUGCUGCUCUAAAUGGGAGGUAUAUGUCUUCUAAAGCUAAAUACCGGCCAGAGACCGAUAGCGCACAAGUAGAGUGAUCGAAAGAUGAAAAGCACUUUGAAAAGAGAGUUAAAAAGUACGUGAAAUUGUUGAAAGGGAAGCGUUUAUGACCAGACUUGGGCUUGGUUAAUCAUCUGGGGUUCUCCCCAGUGCACUUUUCCAGUCCAGGCCAGCAUCAGUUUUCGCCGGGGGAUAAAGGCUUCGGGAAUGUGGCUCUCUCCGGGGAGUGUUAUAGCCCGUUGCGUAAUACCCUGGCGGGGACUGAGGUUCGCGCUUCUGCAAGGAUGCUGGCGUAAUGGUCAUCAACGACCCGUCUUGAAACACGGACCAAGGAGUCGUCUUCGUAUGCGAGUGUUCGGGUGUCAAACCCCUACGCGUAAUGAAAGUGAACGCAGGUGAGAGCUUCGGCGCAUCAUCGACCGAUCCUGAUGUUCUCGGAUGGAUUUGAGUAAGAGCAUACGGGGCCGGACCCGAAAGAAGGUGAACUAUGCCUGUGUAGGGUGAAGCCAGAGGAAACUCUGGUGGAGGCUCGCAGCGGUUCUGACGUGCAAAUCGAUCGUCAAACAUGGGCAUGGGGGCGAAAGACUAAUCGAACCUUCUAGUAGCUGGUUUCCGCCGAAGU
rnacentral:rRNA from 1 species